rnacentral:rRNA from 1 species
GACAGAGGGUGCAAACGUUGUUCGGAUUUACUGGGCGUAAAGAGCUCGUAGGCGGUCUGUUGCGUCGGCUGUGAAAACCCGGGGCUCAACUCCGGGCCUGCAGCCGAUACGGGCAGACUAGAGUUCGGCAGGGGAGACUGGAAUUCCUGGUGUAGCGGUGAAAUGCGCAGAUAUCAGGAGGAACACCGGUGGCGAAGGCGGGUCUCUGGGCCGAUACUGACGCUGAGGAGCGAAAGCGUGGGGAGCGAACAGG